rnacentral:rRNA from 1 species
GAUGAACGCUGGCGGCGUGCCUAAUACAUGCAAGUCGAGCGAACAGACGAGGAGCUUGCUCCUCUGACGUUAGCGGCGGACGGGUGAGUAACACGUGGAUAACCUACCUAUAAGACUGGGAUAACUUCGGGAAACCGGAGCUAAUACCGGAUAAUAUAUUGAACCGCAUGGCUCAAUAGUGAAAGACGGUUUUGCUGUCACUUAUAGAUGGAUCCGCGCCGCAUUAGCUAGUUGGUAAGGUAACGGCUUACCAAGGCAACGAUGCGUAGCCGACCUGAGAGGGUGAUCGGCCACACUGGAACUGAGACACGGUCCAGACUCCUACGGGAGGCAGCAGUAGGGAAUCUUCCGCAAUGGGCGAAAGCCUGACGGAGCAACGCCGCGUGAGUGAUGAAGGUCUUCGGACCGUAAAACUCUGUUAUUAGGGAAGAACAAAUGUGUAAGUAACUAUGCACGUCUUGACGGUACCUAAUCAGAAAGCCACGGCUAACUACGUG